rnacentral:rRNA from 1 species
UACAGGGGGUGCGAGCGUUGUUCGGAAUUAUUGGGUGUAAAGCGCGUGUAGGCGGACCAUUAAGUCUGAUGUGAAAGCCCUUGGCUUAACUGAGGAAGUGCAUCGGAUACUGGCGGUCUUGAGUCCUGGAGAGGGUAGCGGAAUUCCCAGUGUAGCGGUGAAAUGCGUAGAUAUCUGGAGGAACACCGGUGGCGAAGGCGGCAUCCUGGACCGGUAUUGACGCUGAUGCGCGAAAGCCAGGGGAGCAAACGGG